GAGACCCCCACUUUGUGAUUCACAUUCCUCACUCAGAAGAGAAGAUCUGCUUCACAUUAGAUGGUCGCCCAGGGGACCUCUUGAAGCUCAUAGAUGACCCCAAGGCAGGGCUGCAUGUAAGUGGCCAGUUGCUUGGAGCACCAUCAAGACCAAGUCAUAAGGACCAGACCCGGACAUACUUUCAUAUUAUCACAAUCACUUCAGAUAAACCCCGGGCCUACAACAUUACAAUAAGUCGAAGUUCUAUAUCUGUGCAAGGUGAGAGCACCUUGAGCUUAUCCUGGAACCAACGUGCCCUGGUGAAGAAGCCCCACCUGGAGCUCCAUGUGGCUUCUGCAGCCCUUCUCACCGUCCGCCUUGGGCCCCACCUCAACUUCUUCAUCCUUCGUCACCAGUACAGACACCCCAGCACACUACAGCUACCCCAUUUGGGGUUCUAUGUGGCCAAUGGCUCAGGCCUCAGCCCCUCAGCCCGUGGCCUGAUGGGACAGUUUCAAUACACAGACAUCCGGCUGGUAACAGGACCUUCUGGGUCUUAUUUACAGAAGCACCAUGGCCUGGACGUGCCAGUGGUACUAGGCAAGAGGCUGCUGAAAGAGUCACCAAGGCUGCUUCCCCGCUGGACUUCAUGCUGGAUCGUGAAGCGCUCUCAUGUGGAAAGGCUGCUGGGUCAGCCCUACCUUGCCUAUGUUCUGUGAUGGCUCCUGAACCCAGAGAUCCAGAGGCUAUGGCAUGGAGUCAACCAUGGCACAGGCCUGGGUCCGUGGGGAUGUACAUAAUGGAUGUAUACACAUAUGCUAAGGGACAA
rnacentral:lncRNA from 1 species